rnacentral:rRNA from 1 species
AGUGAACGCUGGCGGUAGGCCUAACACAUGCAAGUCGAACGGCAGCACAGUAAGAGCUUGCUCUUACGGGUGGCGAGUGGCGGACGGGUGAGGAAUACAUCGGAAUCUACUUUUUCGUGGGGGAUAACGUAGGGAAACUUACGCUAAUACCUCAUACUACCUACGGGUGAAAGCAGGGGAUCUUCGGACCUUUCCCGAUUGAAUUAGACGAUGUCGGAUUAGCUAGUUGGCAGGGUAAAGGCCCACCAAGGCGACGAUCCGUAGCUGGUCUGAGAGGAUGAUCGGCCACACUGGAACUGAGACACGGUCCAGACUCCUACGGGAGGCAGCAGUGGGGAAUACUGGACAAUGGGCGCAAGCCUGAUCCAGCCAUACCGCGUGGGUGAAGAAGGCCUUCGGGUUGUAAAGCCCUUUUGUUGGGAAAGAAAAGCAGCAGGUUAAUACCCCGCUGUUCUGACGGUACCCAAAGAAUAAGCACCGGCUAACUUCGUG